GUCCUCCACAAAUUGAAGAAAAUGAUGGCAGGAGAUAGGAUGAGUGCCGUCUCCAUUUCUGUGUUAAUUUCUUUAUUUUUAUAACAUUUAUAAUGCCAAAAAGAAUGUUAAAAACUAUGCACUGGGCACGGUAGCUCAUACCUGUAACCCUAGCACUUUGGGUGGCCAAGGCCAGUGGAUCACCUGAGGUCAGAAUUUCGAGAAGAGCCUGGCCAACAUGGCAGAACUCUUAUCUCUACUAAAAAAAAAAUUACAAAAAUUAUCUGGGCAUGGUGACAUGCACCUGUAAUCCCAGCUACUUGGGAGCCUGAGGCUGGAGAAUCUCUUGAAUCUGGGAGGCAGAGGUUGCAGUGAGCCAAGAUCGCACCACUGCACUCCAGCCUGGAUGACAGAGUGAGACUCCGUCUCAAAACAAGAACAACAACAACAAAGCUACACUGGUCGGAAAACGCCAUAUAAAUGGACUCAUUCUUAGACCAUGCUCUGGUCAAACAUAACUCCAGCACGCUGGGGUGGCAGUUGAUGCUGUGGGAAGGAAUCAGGGCUAUCUGCUUCUAUUCUUGGCAUAGUAGUUCAAGGUGCAGAACUCAAACAGCACACCUUAUGGACAAUGAAUGAAUCCAUGGUGUCACAUGAAAAAGGAAGAAAUGAGGUUGAAUCAACGAAAUCACUGAUUUGCCCAAGAAAAGGAAAAAUUUUCUUUGUGGUUUAAUUGUUUAUUUGUGGAUAGCUCACUCAAGAUCAGAGCCAGUGUCCCAAGUAGACAGAAUGACCCAUCUGGGAAGUCUAUGUUCCUAACUUGAGAGCAAAAGCGUUGGAGAACAGAUUUCAAAACUAUGCCAUGGGCUGUUCGACUGUGAAAGGAGACAAAAAUGAGACAAUAACCUAAGAAAUAAAGAGAUGUUGCUGGCAGUGCCUUCCCUGCCUACAUCGUGAGUCCUCUUGCUCUGCCAGUCCCAAAUUGGUGUUCCCACAGGAUUCUGUUUUCCUUUCCCUCAUCUACAUUCAUCUACAUCCAAGGUCUUAAGGACUAUUCACCUAUCGAUUCCUGUCUUCAAUUAAGAUUGUUUUCCUGUGCUGAAACUUUUAUCUCCACUUGCCAGUUUCAGAUCUACAAUUUAAGCACUUACAACCCAGGGGAAAAAAGAAUUCUAGGGUUGCUCAGCCCUAGUUUACGGCAUGAAGCAGGACUGUUGUGUGGAUGCCCCAGGGACCUCUACAAAAGCCUCGUAACUGGAGCUCAGGAAUACUUACUACCACUCCCUACUGGGACUGAAACACAAACUGUUUAAGUGAAGUAAGGUAGAUGGAACAGAAUAAAGGGGAUUAUUUUACAUCACUCUUUCAUAGUGUUCAUCUUUCCUUUUGCUAAGUAAGGUAUCAAUAGCUAGCUGAUGUUUAAUGUUUUUUUCACUAUGUAUGUGUGUGUGUAUAUAUGUAACAUGCCCAUCUCAGGCUUCACCAGCCAGUAAGCACAAAUUUCUAAGACCUAAAUCUCAUUAGCUUAUAUAUAACCCCAGGGUAACUGGACUUGUUCUGGCUUAUUAUUUAUUUUAAGAGACAGGCUCUUACUUUGUCCCCAGACUGGAGCGCAGUGGUACGAUAAUAGCUCACUGCAGCCUCAGCUCCUGGGCUCAAGUGGUCUUUCCACCUUGGCCUUUCAAACCACUUCUUGGCAAGAACCACUGUGACUGGCCUGCUUUUCAGUCUUGUACUCAGUAUUUCCUGGAGACUCUGAAACCUUGCCCUGAUGUUUCUAGAAAGGGUCUGUUAGGUUUCUAGAAUAUGGCUCUACUCUCUACUACUGUUGCCUGAAUCCUGCAGGAAUGGAACAUUAGCUGUUCUUCAUGUCAAUGAAACUGGAAGCCUACCUCAAGCCCUGAUGCCAGAGAUCCUAAGCACCACUCCUGCAAAGUCAGAAGAAGAGGGUGGAAGGCAGGAUUUCCUGCAGAAAUGCAGCUUGAGCCUCAAAAUAGUACAGCAAUUAGUGAUCCAGAUCUUUCUUUCCCUCUAUGUGGUAGAUCUGAGCCGGGAUCACUAGGCCAUAGACAAGCAGUUCCUCACAGUUCUGAGAGUGGAAAUCUGCUCACAUCACUGUGACAGUGACUAUCUCUUCAUUAGCUGAGGUUUAAAGUAGUGUGCCAGACAUGCCUAGGGCAAUACUUUUGAAGAAAAAGGGGGAAAAUUGUUUCAUUUUCAGUUUGGAAAGGAAGGAAGAACAAGAUUACAUGAAUAGCUCUCAUGUAUUUAGAGAUAUAUAAUUCUUUCAAGGUACAUGUAUGCAUGCACACAUGAACACACACUGCCACUGUAACUGGAUGCAGCAGAUCAGAGAUGGCGGCAAAUUCUUUCACACGCUUCUUAUGGAGAGGUGAGGGCUAUUUGCCCUUCCCAUGAAUCUAGGCUGGCCUGUGAGUGUUUCACCAAUAGAGUAUAGUGCAAGUGAAUCCGUGUCAGAUGUGAGCCUAGCCUUUAAGAGGACUGGUAGCCACUGCCUUGGCUUCUUUGGGCACUGUGCCUGACUAGCAUCCUGCAUGAGAAACUGUGGAGAGGCUCUGAGCCUACAUGGAGAGGAAGAGGACUGAGAAAUGUGGAGUAAAGCCUGUGGACCCUCCAGCCCAGCUCAGUCACCAGUUGGAUACAAGGGACCCCAGUCAACUCCACUUGAUGCAAAGAAAUCAGCCAAUUCUUGACCCAUAUAAAAUGAUCCUUGUUUUAACUUAUCAAGUUUGGGAAUACCCUACCAUGCAACAUUAGAUUCCUGGAGCCUUAGUUAAGUAGAAAUAUUAUGGGGUCCUCCAGGCUGUGUUAAGAACUUCCAUCCCCCCCCACUUUGUUUUUUGAGACAGAGUCUCUCUCUGUCACCAGGCACCAGGCUGGAGUGCAGUGGCAUGAUCUUGGCUCACUGCAACCUCUGCCUCCCGGGUUCAAGAAAUUCUCCUGUCUCAGCCUCCAGAGUAGCUGGGACUACAGAUGUAUACCACCACACCCAGCUAAUUUUUGUAUAUUUAGUAGAGACGGGGUUUCAUCAUGUUGGCCGGGAUAGUCUCGAUCUCAUGACCUAGCGAUCUGCCUGCCUCAGCUUCCCAAAGUGUUGGGAUUACAGGCAUGAGCCACUGCACCUGGCCCCCAUCCUCUUUUAAGAGCAGUUCUGCAUCUGAUCCUUCUCUCCAGACUCUUUACACUGGGUGCAGAUCUGUGGAGACCUUGAGAACAACCAGCCUCAUUAGAUGAGUUUCAAGUUUUCCCCUACUAGAUUCGAUUACUACAUGCAAAGGGGUACACUCAAAAUAUGGAGCUCCAUUCUCU
rnacentral:lncRNA from 1 species